AUAAUGCCUGCCUCGGCGCCGCGUGUUGCAGUGACGUAUGCGCUGUCUGCGCGUUCCAGAAUUCUCAAACAUCUCAGGAAUGUUGGUUGGCGCGGGCUGCUGCCAAGCACCUCCCCUGGCUCCGUUGCACCUUUCCCCCCCUCCCCUUCUUAGAUUCAUCAGAGAAAAAAAAAGUUAUUUUUUUUCCACUUUAAAUAACAACUUCCUUUGGGAAGGGCGGGAUGCUUGGGGCGCAAGGGUUCUGAUUUUGAUUGAAGAGGGUAUCUCGUGAGUGUGUUGGGGGGCGUGGUGUAUGUGUUGGUGGGAGCAUUUCAGAUCUGUGCCUAGACAUGGGAGGGCGGGAAGACCUGAGACGGCGGAAGAAAAGUGGUUUUGUUUGAUGCUGCCUACCCGGGAAAGCAGCGAGCUGCUUGCUUGUUUACAACCAAGGUUCCCAGUUUUAGUUCCAGCCCACUGCCUGCGUUGGAAAUCCAAGAGGAAACGAGUGCAGAGUUCUCCCGGAGCCUGACGUCCACUUCCUCACCGAUGCAGGAGGCCGGGUCAACCCUCCUGGCCUCUCUCCCCGGACUGGCGGGGCGGUGGAAACUAAGCAGCCAAACCAGAAACGGAGGAGACCACCGUGGAGUGAUUUGUCCUGAAAUCAUCAGGUGCAAAAGCUGCCGGGACAAAACAGAACCCAACAGCUUUGGCUAGAUGGAAAAAAAGACUUGGUGUGUUUGCAGACACCGUCCCACCAACCCUCCCGCCCUUGUAUGUGUCUCUCUGUAUGUAUAUGUAUGUAUGCCUCCCUGUCUGUGUGUCUGUGCUUGUGUGUCGCUUGUGUGUCUCUGUGUCUCUGUCUGUCUCUGUCUCUCUGUCUCUCUGUCUCUCUGUCUCUCUGUCUCUCUCUCUCUCUCUCUCUCUCUCUCUCUCUCUCUCUCUCUCUCUCUCUGUGUGUGUGUGUGUGUGAACUUGUGUGUCUCGGUGUUUAAUUCCUUUGUUUUGGAUCACUUGGAAGCCUUCCAUUUCAAAGGAAGUGCAAUGGCUCUCUCCCCAAGUUCCGAGACAUGAGGGAUUUAGAGGGCAACAAUGUAAUAAAGGACGUUAGUUUUAAAGAUCUUAUUAGACACACAACUGAAGACACCCCCUAGACCCUCUUCAGUAUUACCCGUGCCAUUCAUAAAUUUCAGAAGCCUCGAAAUCUGUCUUCUGCAAUUUUAAAAGGAGAUGGGUACUAGAUUUCCCCAUCCCUUUAAUGGUCUGGGGUAGCUUUUUUUCAUUUUUAAUAUGUAGGGCCUCCCUGCCUUUGCCGCUUAGCGAUCUUGCUCAAGAGAGCCUUGUGCACUGACUGUUCUAAGAAUGACUCUGGUGAGAAGGAAGAGAAGCGCACUCGAAUGAAGACAGCUGUUACUGGAAAGAGUUAAGUUCAUUCAUUCAAAAGGGCCCUUUCGUAAGUCCUAGAGGAAUUUGCCAGAGGCGGUAGGAUCUUGAAGGCUUUCUGGGGGUGGGGACUUUUAAAGACAAUGGGUUGUCAAGUGUUAUGCAAAUAACGAAGGCCAAGCCGAGGCCUUGUCCCGCAGGCCAGCCAACUUAUUAGCUAGAGAACUGUUCCGCUGGCCUUACAGUUCAUUGUUUCCAUCUUUGGGAAGCGGCGGGAGGGUAGGGGGUGAGGGUGGAGAAGGCGCAGAACGGGGUAGAAGGAGGUGAUGGAGAAACAGAAUGGAGGGGAGGGCUCCUGGCUUCUGUUGUGGCGUCUUUUCUAUUUGACUUCAUGGUUGUAAGUAUUUCCAGAUGGUGAAUCAGACACCAGACGUAACAAUAUUUCCAUAUUUGGGUAUAGCAGUAGCCUGCGUUUUUAACAUUUUUCUGCCUCUGUUAUCCAACCACAAGGCAUUCUUGACAGCUUCAAAUGUUGUUAAAUAUAGACUUAACUUCUGUUCCCAGAGCAGGAAAUUCUUUGGAAUUCCUUGUUUUUCACGCAAUCUGUCCAUCAUGAUUUAAAAUAAAGUUACAGUGGAUGAUCCAACUGGCCUGGAUAUACUGUGUUCCUUUGCUGCGGGGGAUGGGGUGACAGUGGAGAGGUCCAGUAUUCUAUACAGCAUUCAGACACACCAUUCCGUAGAUGCCUUUAAAAAUCAGAUUAAAGUUUUCUAACGAGGAUGUGUGGGGUUUUGUUUCUGGACUCCAACUGGGCAAUCUCAGAAGAAGGGGAUUGUCCCAGAGGAGACAGAGGGAGAACAUUAGCAUCAGCUGUCCAUUUAAAGCAGCGGGUGUGUGGUGAGAAGAGGAGGGAGUUGGAGUCGGCAAGGCCGGGAGGUGCAGGAGGAGGAAAGGCUGCUGGAACCCAUGUGCACAGCCUUUGCAGACUGCGUGCACUGCCUAGCCCGCUGGUAACCAGGAGGAACAGCGGCUGCUUGAGUCCCUGCCUAGGAUGGUCCAGAAACUCCAGACGUCCUGUCGCCUUCUCACCUCCUCUGCUGAGAGCUACAGAUCCUUCGUUGACAGACAGGGAGGGAAAUGUGCAAAUGGUGUGGAUUUCAGCUUGAAGAGGAUGGCCUUGUUGGGCACCAAUGGAAGGAGAAGCCCUUGGUCCUGACAAGGCUGCUGUAGGAGUACAGACAGAUGUAGUCUGCCUCUGAAGCCACCCUAUAAAAAGUGAAGUCCUUGCUUGUGUGUAUAUCGUGAUAAAUGAGAAGAGUCUGCCAUUGCUCCUGCUGCCACACAUGUUCCAUUUGAAGCUGUUGACUGCAUGUGCAUUUUCAUGGGAGAUUAGCAGCCAUCUGGAGGAGAAAGUCCUGGCAGCAGGGUUGGGGCGUUCCUCACAGAAGGUGUGGAUUAUAGAGCCUAAUCUCCAGACUGCUGUUACUCUGGUCACUGUAGCCCCUUCUGAGGAGCAACGAAAAAUACUACUUGUUAUGUCAACCGCUAUCAAGGUCACCUCAUCAGAUAUGGAAGAAAUUCUUGAAGGUAGCAAGAUAACUCAGUGUAUGAAACUCCAUGUCCCAAAAGCCCGAGGACCUGAGUUUGAUCCCUGGAGGAACCCACAUGGAAGGAGGGAACUGACUCCUAAAGGUCUCCACAAAUCUCCACACACAGCACAGGGUGUGUCACAUACACUUCUGCAUUUACACAUACAUCUCACACAUCACACAUAUAGACAUAUAUGUGUACAUAUACACAUAUUUGUAUAUAAACACAUAUACUACAUAUGUACAUUAUAUCAUAAUACACAUAUGUACAUAUAUCACACAAGCAUCACACACACCUGACACAAACAUCCAUACAUCACACAAUCAUACACACACAUAUCACACACACAUGCAUACACUACUAAUAUAUUUUUAAAAUUUCAAAGCAUCCUCUGGGAUGAAUUUUUCUGACAUUUUUCUAAGCUUAAGAAGUGGAGUUUCCCCACACCUUUAAUCCAACAACCUGAGACGCAGAGGCAGGCAGAUCUCUGAGUUUAGGAGCAGCCUGGUCUACAGAGAGAGUUCUAGAACAGUCAGAGCUACACUGGAAAGCCAUCUCUUGAAAAACAAAAACCAAAACAAAACAAAAACAAAACCCAACCCCAUACAUGGCAAGAGGCCUAUGUUAUACAUGUAGGUUAAACAAACAUACACAUAGAAUAAAAAUAGAUAAAGUUUUAAAAAGAAAAAAUAAGAUGUAUUAAUCAGAUAAUUAGACUGUGACCCUCAGGGAUUCUAACUCAGGCUUGUGUGCUUUCUAUAACCUGUAACACCAUCCUGAUUCUCCGAGGGUUUCUUUUUUGCAAUUGUCUCGGUUUUUCAUUUUAAAUCUGUAUUUACUCAAUUUUUUUCCUGAGGCAGGGUCUCUUGUAGCCCAGACAGGCCUUGCCCUCACUGUGGAGCCAAGGCUGGCCUUGGCCUUGUCUCCUGCAACCACCUCCCAAAUGCUGGCAGGAUGAGCCUGUGCUAUCUCCUGGAUUUUAUGCACUGUCUGGGAAUGGAACCCAGGGCUUUGUGCACGGAAGGCAAACACUUUAGCAACUGAGCGACAGCCCCCAAUCCUCCUAUUUUAAGAAAUUGUUCCCCCACACUGUGUCUUUAUGGAGCCGACCCUUUAAGCUCUUCUUAGUACUUUAAGAUCCACAGUGGUAGUUACUGAGCCAGAGGUGACUCUUUAGUGUCUAAAGGGAGAUGCAAAAUAAAGUGAAUGGACCAUUAGUAUCAAGCCGAUGCUGUCAUUGUAAUCAGAGAACAGCAUGGUGACCCUAAGUCUGCCUGUCACCUGUUUCUUUGCUGGACACCGUGGAGGGUGGUUUGGAUGUGUGUGAGCUGUUUGCCAGGGACAAGUGACAAGCUUCAGAGGAUGUAGUCAUCAUUAGAAAUAAUGAAAGAAGCCCAGUUUGUGGGGUUUGUAGUUAAGAGAUAGAUGGCGGGUGUCAUGGCAACUCAAGGCUACUGGAGAGCACGGUGAUAUAAUCUAGAAGUUUCCUUCUGGACGGUGGCGAGCUGGUUAUGUUGAAGCGUACUGGACAGAGGGGUGUGUCGGGGUGUGGGCGAAAGUAUGUGAGUGAAAGUGUAUGUGUGAGUGAGUGUGUGUGUGUGUGUGUGUGUGUGUGUGUGUGUGUGUGUGUGUGUGAAGGAGAUAGGAAGGGAGAAAGAGAGGGAGAGAGACAGAGGCAGAGAGACAGAGGCAGGGAGACAGAGGCAGAGAGACAGAGGCAGCGCGACAGAGGCAGAGGUACCUCUGACUGUGUUAUGGCUUCAGGUUAAUCAAAUCUCCCAGGACCCCAGGCUCUUCUAAGCCUCUGGAUCAGGAGUCUGGUUUUCAGCUAAAUCUGUAGGCUCUUCUGUGGGUGUUAUACACGAGCCCUUAUAUUUUCAAAGCUUCCCCCACUGCCUUUUAAAAGAACAUUUACGAGAUGUCUUUGCUGUGCUAGAGUCCGAGGAUACAAAGAUUAUGAAGGUGUCGGAAUGAAACCGUGUUAAGGGUUGCUCUCUGCUCUCUGGAAAAUCAGGUGUCUUCUGCAGUUGAUCUCAACCUAGAACCCAAGAUCCUGCCUGAAGCUCCCGGAGAGUCUUUGGGAGGGAAGAGGCAUGGCCAGUGACCAAGAGAGUCAGCAGCUAGCCUGAGAGUGGAGUGUGGGUGAUGGAAUGGGGGAAGCUGACUACAUGCCUAGGGAUGACCUGUCCUUCUUGUGGCCCACUCUGUGCCUUCUCUGGGCUUCCUACCUUCUCUACGUCACAGCUUUCCUGUUCUGACUAGAGACAUCCUUGAGCCCUGUGUAAGAAAGGACUGAUUCUCAUAGUGGGACCAUCCUAUCUGGGUUGCUUUAACGCUGGGGACCCCAAGACCUGGAGCCAGAGAAAUAGGAGACGAAUAUGGAGAUGGGCAAAGACCCGGGGAAGACUUCGAAGGGGUAUGGAAUGAGAAUAGGGACAAUCUCCGCUUUAAUCAUGUCAGUUAUUGGGCAGUAACCAUCCAGAUCUGAAUGCAGUUAACUUAGUGCUUUGUUGGAGGCCUUGUAGUGUGACCUACUUCCAUAGGCCAGGGACAUCCGGGUUGAAAUGCUUCUCUGUUGGAACACAGUUCGGUGUCGGCUCACAGGAACUAAGAAGUGUGCGGACCUGUGAGUCAUAGGCAGGUUUUCUUCCAGAAUACUGUGGGAAAAGGAUGGGCAGAUGGCGUCAGAUAAAACCCAGACCCACCCAGACUCUCAGUGAAGCCUGGAAACAAGUAUGUUUAAAAGAGAUGCUUUAAAAAAUCUGAUCUCAGAAGACCGACAGAAAGCCUUUGCUCCUUGGCUUCGGUUUGGGCCUGAAGUCUUGUUCUGCUUUGGGGUAAAUCUCCAGGCUUUUCCAUGCGUGCUGGCUGCGAAUGUUUACAGUUGCAGAGGGUCCCCUCUCACAUGGUAAGGAGCCUUAAGGAAAUGCCUGUGCCGUGCCGGGACUUGAGGACACAGCGAUGACUAAGAUGUGGGUUCACACCUUGAUGAAGGUGCGGGUAGAGAGGUGAGAGCUGUGUCUACAAGCAUUUUAGUGUGGACUUUGUAGACACAGGCAGCUUACGCCUGAAUGGGACCACACGGUCAAGGGCUCAGGGCUCAGGGAUGGGGUCUUCUUAUCGUGCUUGGGGAGGUGCUCUUGAUCUUGAGUUUCCUCACCAAAGCCUGCCAGGGCUAACAAACUUCAUGUUCCUCUGAUUAGACUGCUUAAGACACACUGGCAAAGGAGAUGUGGAUUUCUAAGAACCUUCUACUCACAAGGGUGGGACUUUUUUUAAUCCAUAGUCCUUCCACUUCCUUGGUAAAUAACCCAUCUUCUUAAUGUUUCUACCUUUUGGGAGGAAAUUCUAUCUUCUGGUGUCCCGACUGUAGCUUGUGAGUUACACUCUUGGCUUUGCCUGGAAGGCUGUGUGAUAGAACCGUAAGUUUCUGCUAGAGAAAGAUGAGCCCAGUAAUUAGAAGCCUUUAUCUCAGUGGAAGGGACAGCAAGGGGAAGGCAAGAGGGUUGAAUUCCAUGAUUCCACGUCAUUCGAUGACGUUUAGGAGUGUCCCAUCUUUGUUCUUGAUCUGAUACCUAGGGUGCUGGAUAUCUCUCUUCUGUUUACUUUGGGUCUAACUUUCUUCCUUUUAAACAUGUCUUAAUGUGGAAAUCGAGUUCACUGAUGUAAGCUCCUUUUUUUUUUUUUUUUUUCCGGAGCUGGGGAUCAAACCCAGGGCCUUGCGCCUGCUAGGCAAGCACUCUACCGCUGAGCUAAAUCCCCAACCGCUCCUUUUAUCUCUAUUGGGUUUGUUUGUGUUUUGAGACAUGGUUGGAUGUAACUCAGGCUGGCUUUGAACUUGCUAUGCGGUUGAGGAUAAUGAUAAGCUUCUGAUUCUCCUCCUCCAUGUCCAGAGUGUGGGGAUUACAGGUGUACACCACCAUACCGUCUAUGUUGUGUUAUGGACCAAACCUCGGACUUUGUGCAUGCUGGGAAAACACUCUGCCCAUCGAAUCUAUCCUCAGCCCUGUCUCUAAUAUGUAAGGAAGCAAGCAUCCCUCUACUCCUGCUUUAACUGCUUCCCCCAACUUGUAUUGAUUCGAGCCAGGGUUUCUCUCUGCAGCCCUGGCUGUCCUGGAGUUUGCUACGGAGAUCAGGGUGUCCUUUAACUCCUACAGAUUCCUCUGCCUUGGCCUCCCCAGCCUGGGAUCAAAGUUAUGAGCCUGUGGCUAUAUUCCCCAGUUGCUAAUAGAUUCUGCUUUUAUUUCAUUCCACUCGAAAGACUUUUUUUUUUGUUCCCUUUCAGAUUUAUCUUUGAUUCCAAUUACUUAGAAAUGUUAUCUGUGAUCUGAUGAGUUAGAUAUUCUCCAGGUAUUAUUCUGUUGUUCAUUUCUAGCCCGACUUCCUUGUGAUCAGAAAAUAAAGGACGUAUGACUUGAAUUACUCAGCAUUUUUGAGACUCGUUUUAUGGCUGGGAAGACGGUCUGCUUGAAAACUGUGCUGAUUAUGCUGGUUUGGGGGUCUAGUGUCCUAACUAAUCAUGUUCUUUGCCCUCACCCACCCUCUGCCUGCCUAUUCACCGAGCAACUUAAGAGGAGCAUUUGACAUCUCCAUCUAAACUUGUCAAUUUGUUUAAUUUCCAUUUUGACCAGUUUUGUUUGAUUUUUUUUUUCUUUUCCUGGUGCUAAGAAUAAAAGUCAGAGCCUGGUGCAGUUCUGAAGGAACACCGAACCUCUCGGUCUUACCUCCAGCCCAUGUUUGAUGCACCCUCCCUAGCUUCUACCAUGAGGUGCUAAGAGAUGCUUAACGCUGAUUCGUAGCUACCUGAGGGCGUCAUGCAUUUUACAAUUUUACUUUUGUUUUAACUGUUUUAGGUCAAUGACAAUGCUUUCUGAAUUUAAGUCUCAUUUUUAUCAUUAAUAUAUUGAUACCAAAUUGUAUGUAUGUAUGAAUGCAUGUAUGUAUUACAUAUGAAUGCAUGUAUGUAUGUAUGAAUAUGUGUAUGUAUGAAUGUAUGUAUAUAUGUAUGAAUGUAUGUAUGUAUGUAUCUGUCUGCCUGCCUCUCUCUCUCUCUCUCUCUCUCUCUCUCUCUCUCUCUCUCUCUCUCUUUUUCUGAGACAGGGCCUCAUUGUAGCCCAAGAUAGCCUCAAACCAGUUUUGUAGAACAAUUUAACCUGGAGCUACUGGCCUUCCUGCCUCCAUUUUCAGAAUGUUGGAAUUACAGACAUAUACAACAACACUUGGCUUAUUUUAUUUACUUUAAAGAGACAGAGUCUUGCUGUUACCCAGACUGGCCAUGGACCCCACUCAAAGAAUUCUCUUGCUUCAGCCCCAUGAGUUUGAAGGACUUACAAGACCUAAAGCACAGUGUUCUACCUCAGUCUAUUUUAAGCUGGUUAAGAGUCACUCUGUCCUUUGACUACAUUGAUUAUAGUUAUGAAGUGACUCUUGGUUGGUUUCCUGAGUCACCCUGACUGUACCACAAGUGCCAGCUAUGUGGUCAGACACUGUUCUGCACCUGUCUGUAGGUAAUUUCAGAUGAGCUUUUUGUUUGAAUCAGUGUCCUGACUAAGGCACACUGCUCUCUCUGGUGCUCGUGGCUCUCAUGCAGUCUGUUGAACACAGCUGUGUCUCUGUGAGAAAGAUGAAACCCUUGCUGCCUGAGCGCUUUUGAAGAGGGGGGUGCUUUUGCUUCUUGUUUUGUUUUGGUGUUUUCUUUUCCACCAGCCUUCAGAUUUGAGCUGAUAUUUUGGUUCCUUUCCGAAUCUUGAGCCUUUGGACUGGAAACUUAGCUAUCAACUGUGCUGGAUCUCCAGUUUGCCGUCUAUAGAUCAUGGACCUCCUUAGCCUCCAAGCAUGCAUGAGCUAAUCCCUUGUAGAACAAGAAAAUAUCCUCCACAUAUGUGCAUAUCGCACACACAUGUGUGGAUGUGUAAACACACAUGAACAGAUACAUACACUUGAGGUCCUUUUCCUCUGGAAAAUUAGUUUCACCAAUCUUUUUUUCUUUUUUUUCGAAGCUGAGGACCGAACCCAGGGCCUUGCGCUUGCUAGGCAAGUGCUCUACCACUGAGCUAAAUCCCCAACCCCUAGUUUCACCAAUCUAAACACAUGCUCUAUCUCUAACAUGAUAUUUUUUCUCAUUCCUUUAUUUCCCAUUUGUUUGAAUCUAUAUACUUAAAAGUGUUGUUAUGUGUGUUUUUGUUGUCGUUUGUUCUGUUGUUUGCUUGCUUGCUCUUUGUUUGUUUUGGUUAACGAUAUCUGCCUUUUUCGUCCAAGUGACAUCUUUUACUUUCUAAUUGAGUUGCCCAAACUGUUCACGCUGCUGCGUGUGGUGCUAAGGCACAGUUGUAACCCAUCUGUCUCCUUGUCUGUUUAAGUCUGUCUGUCUCCUGUUUUCCACUUGUUCCUUUCGUUUUCUUCCCUUCUCGGUUUGGAAUUUUGAGGUUGACGCCUUAUCUCAAUGGUGCAGCAUUUACAGAAUAAGCUCAAAUGUAUCCACCAUCAGAUGACGUCACACUAUUUUAUAUAUAGUACAAAGACACCUCCUUGUCUGUCUCUGUGUUAUCUUUGUCACAUUUUAUUUCUAUAUAGGUAACAUCAUAUUCCAUGGCACACCAUUAAUAUCUUAGCCUUAAGUCAUCAAGUGUCUUGGACAAAUAUCUAAAAUGAAAGUAUUAUAUUUACCCACAAAUAUGCCACCUGUGCUGCUCCUCGCUCCUUCAGAGCUGUCUUGGUCUGCAUGUUAUCUUCACUUACUCUCUUGUCCAGGUGUGCUGCGGACGGAUGCUUUCAAUUCUGCAUCUGCAGAAGCUUUGUUCUGAUUUUUUUAAACCUGUAAUUUUGAUAUGCUGUGGAAUUGCAGAACUUAGAGAAUAGAACAGAACUGUCAGCCACAAGCCUGUCACCUGCUUCCUCCCACAGUGGCGUCUCAGUCACAUGAAAGCGAGGAAAUUAACGAGGAUAAUCUCGUUAAUUAAACUACUGACCCUAGCCAUCUCAAACGGCCAUUUGUGUAUUUCUCCUUUAUCUCUGAAAUACAUUCUUCCUGGAUGUUGGAUCCCCGACGGUCAGAAUGUUUUUUUCCUUCUACACUAUUUAAAGUUCCUGCCUUCUGUUUGUGAAACAACAUCGUUCAAGGUUCCAAAUGCUGCUGCUUGAGAAUUCGUUCCUUGUUUGCACUGUAUGUUUUCUGUGGCUUUCAAGGCUGCUCUUUCUAACCAGUUACAAGCAAACUCAGCGUGGCCGGCCUUGCUAUGGUCUUCAUGAUUCCAGGGCUUAGAGGUUUAUAUUUUUCAUCACAUGUUGAAAGAAUUUCAGUCAUUAUUUCAUUUAUUUAUUUAUUUAUUAUUUAUUUAUUUGAUCUCACAUCCCUAUUGAAUUUUUCAGACUCUAGUAGUAGUUACUCGAAGUUUUCACAAGUGUAUGGUACAAUUUCUAUUUUAUUCCUAGUUUACAUGUUUUUUAUUAUUAUUAUAAAUCAUUACAUUUUUGUAAUAUACACUCAAAAGUGCAUGUGUGUCUGUAUCUGUGUAUAUGUGUGUGUAUGUGUCUGUAUCUGUGUAUAUGUGUGUGUCUGUAUCUGUGUAUAUGUGUGUAUCUGUAUCUGUGUACAUGUGUGUGUAUCUGUGCACAUGUGUGUGUGUGUGUGUGUGUGUGUGUGUGUGUGUGUGUGUGUAUUCACACCUGUUUGCCUGCCUACCAUGGUGCUAAUGUGGAGACUUGACAACUUUAAGCAGUCAGGUCUCUCCUUCCAUUAUGUGGAUUCUGGGGAUCCCACUGAUGGCCAGGCUUGGCAGCGGGUGCCUUAACCAUUGAGCUAUCUCACCAACCUUAAGCUGUGUGCUUUAUUUUGGAUGAUUUUAACACUAUGUCUUCAAGUUCAUCAGUAUUUUAAAAUUGUGUUUCUGAUCGUGUAUGUAAGAGAGAAUGCUGUGUGUGCAUGUUCAUAUGUGUGAAUGCAGGCAUGUAAACGAACUCACAAUGGCAUGCAUUUGAAGGUCAAAGGACAGUCUUGGGGACUAGUGUCCCAUCUGCACCCUGCUUGGGGCAGGGUCUCUCUUUUGUUGUCAGUGUUCACUGCUGUGUGUCCCAGGCUAGCCAGCUUGAGAGCUUCCAGGAAUUCUGUCUCUGCAUCCUGUUUUGCCAUAGGCACACAGGUUAUAGCCGUGGGCUUUGGGUCAGGCUUUUCAUGAGGUUUGGGGACUGAGCACAAGUCCUCCUGCUUCUGUCCCAAAUGUUUUGCCCAGUGAGCCAUCUUCCUGGUUCCGAAUCAGCACUGUUAAAAGACAGGCUUCUGAUCUGCCUCUCCUCCACUCUGUUUUUCUUCUCCGAUAUUGUACUUUCAAGCUUAGAAGAUUUUCUCUUCUCUUUCUCUCUCUCUCUCUCUCUCUCUCUCUCUCUCUCUCUCUCUCUCUCUCUCUCCCCCCCCCCCCCCAGCACAGGCUAGCCUCAAACUUCUAAUUCUUACUUAAUCUCUCAAGUGCUAAAGUUAUCGGCAUGAGGCACCGCACCUGCUUUCAACCGCAGAAGCUCAGAUCAGACGCUUUUAAAUACCUUCUGUAUUCCUACUUAACGUGCUCUAUCUCCACGACCUUGUCACGCAUUUAGAAUGUAGGCAUCGCAUUUUUGUAUGCGCUCAUUCUUAAUUCUAUCAUGUGUGUAACUUACAGUUCUGUUUCUAUUAAUUUUUCUCCCCAUGUUAGAUUGUAUUUUAUUAUUUGCAUGUCAGAUUAUCUCAGCCACUUCUCUAUUGCUGUGAAGAGACACCAUGAUCAAGGCAAUUUAUAAAAGGAACCAUUUACUUUGGGGCUUAUGGUUCCAGAGGGAGGUAGAGUUCAUGGCCAUGAUGGCAGGAGGCACAGCAGAAGGCAGACAUACAUCACCCUGGAGCAGUAGCUGAAAGCUUGCAUCCUAUCUGCCACAUUUGAGGCAGAAACAGAGACAGAUAAUUGGGAAUGGCAUGGACCCUUAAAGCCUACUCUCCAGAGACACGUCUCCUCGAAAAAGACCACACCUUCCCCAACAAGGCCAUACUUUUCCCAACAAGACCACAUCUCCUCGUCCUUCCCAAACAGUUCCACCACUGGAGGACCGAACAUUCAAAUAUAAGAACCCGUUGAGGCCGUUCUCUUCCACACUGAGAUAUUCUGACAUACGAAUAAUAAAUACAAUAAAAUAAUGACUCAGACUCCCCAGC